UACGUAGGGUGCGAGCGUUAAUCGGAAUUACUGGGCGUAAAGCGUGCGCAGGCGGUUGGGCAAGACAGAUGUGAAAUCCCCGGGCUCAACCUGGGAACUGCAUUUGUGACUGCACGGCUGGAGUGCGGCAGAGGGGGAUGGAAUUCCUGGUGUAGCAGUGAAAUGCGUAGAUAUCAGGAGGAACACCGAUGGCGAAGGCAGGUCUCUGGGCUGACACUGACGCUCAUGCACGAAAGCGUGGGGAGCAAACAGG
rnacentral:rRNA from 1 species